rnacentral:rRNA from 1 species
AACGAACGCUGGCGGCAUGCCUAACACAUGCAAGUCGAACGAGACCUUCGGGUCUAGUGGCGCACGGGUGGGUAACGCGUGGGAACCUGCCCUUAGGUUCGGAAUAACUCCCCGAAAGGGGUGCUAAUACCGGAUAAUGUCUUCGGACCAAAGAUUUAUCGCCUUUGGAUGGGCCCGCGUUGGAUUAGCUAGUUGGUAGGGUAAAAGCCUACCAAGGCGACGAUCCAUAGCUGGUCUGAGAGGAUGAUCAGCCACACUGGGACUGAGACACGGCCCAGACUCCUACGGGAGGCAGCAGUGGGGAAUAUUGGACAAUGGGCGAAAGCCUGAUCCAGCAAUGCCGCGUGAGUGAUGAAGGCCUUAGGGUUGUAAAGCUCUUUUACCCGGGAUGAUAAUGACAGUACCGGGAGAAUAAGCUCCGGCUAACUCCGUG